rnacentral:rRNA from 1 species
UACGAAGGGGGCGAGCGUUGUUCGGAAUUACUGGGCGUAAAGGGCGCGUAGGCGGUUUAGCGAGUCAGGCGUGAAAUUCCCGGGCUUAACCUGGGGGCUGCGCUUGAUACUGCUAGGCUUGAAUUCGGGAGAGGAUGGCGGAAUUCCCAGUGUAGAGGUGAAAUUCGUAGAUAUUGGGAAGAACACCGGUGGCGAAGGCGGCCAUCUGGCCCGAGAUUGACGCUGAGGCGCGAAAGCGUGGGGAGCAAACAGG